AUUGAACGCUGGCGGCAUGCCUUACACAUGCAAGUCGAACGGCAGCACGGGAGCAAUCCUGGUGGCGAGUGGCGAACGGGUGAGUAAUGUAUCGGAACGUACCUUUCAGUGGGGGAUAACGUAGCGAAAGUUACGCUAAUACCGCAUAUUCUGUGAGCAGGAAAGCAGGGGAUCGCAAGACCUUGCGCUGAUUGAGCGGCCGAUAUCAGAUUAGCUAGUUGGUGAGGUAAAGGCUCACCAAGGCGACGAUCUGUAGCGGGUCUGAGGGGAUGAUCCGCCACACUGGAACUGAGACACGGUCCAGACUCCUACGGGAGGCAGCAGUGGGGAAUUUUGGACAAUGGGCGCAAGCCUGAUCCAGCCAUGCCGCGUGAGUGAAGAAGGCCU
rnacentral:rRNA from 1 species